UGGGGAAUUUUGGACAAUGGGCGAAAGCCUGAUCCAGCAAUGCCGCGUGUGUGAAGAAGGCCUUCGGGUUGUAAAGCACUUUUGUCCGGAAAGAAAUCCUUGGCUCUAAUACAGUCGGGGGAUGACGGUACCGGAAGAAUAAGCACCGGCUAACUACGUGCCAGCAGCCGCGGUAAUACGUAGGGUGCAAGCGUUAAUCGGAAUUACUGGGCGUAAAGCGUGCGCAGGCGGUUUGCUAAGACCGAUGUGAAAUCCCCGGGCUCAACCUGGGAACUGCAUUGGUGACUGGCAGGCUAGAGUAUGGCAGAGGGGGGUAGAAUUCCACGUGUAGCAGUGAAAUGCGUAGAGAUGUGGAGGAAUACCGACGGCGAAGGCAGCCCCCUGGGCCAAUACUGACGCUCAUGCACGAAAGCGCGGGGAGCAAACAGGAUUAGAUACCCUGGGUAGUCCACGCCCUAAACGAUGUCAACUAGUUGUUGGGGAUUCAUUUCCUUAGUAACGUAGCUAACGCGUGAAGUUGACCGCCUGGGGAGUACGGUCGCAAGAUUAAAACUCAAAUGAAUUGACGGGGUCAUAGCUGUUUCCU
rnacentral:rRNA from 1 species